UAUUGCCUUGCAUAAAUAAUAUCCACUAACAUAGUAAAAAUGAUGGAAAAUAAAGUUUUAACAUCCACACAUUUUGCAGGUUGGGGAUAUUAAAAUUGCUGCCAGCGUGAACCUGACUCCUCAUUCUGUUUACCUGCAGGGACAAAGGUAAUAAGGAAUCUGGGAGUAUGGCAGAGGCUGAGGUCGAGAUGGCAAGCAUGUUCUUCUAUGUUUCUUAAGUUCAGCCUGGCCAUCAGGGAACCUUUGGUCCCCAAGUGACCUGGGUGAAUAGCAUCCAAGUGGUCAACUUUGAGCAUGAAAGUGUAAAGGAUUUUGCCUGUUCCCAACUGAGGGAGAGAAAGAUCAGAAGUACAUUUCACUUGCAUGUACUUGAAUAAAUGAAUGGACCAAAAAACAAAGCACAAAAAAGAACAAAAAUAUUAAAUAAUGUAGCCAACUAUGCCUGAUGAUCUGGACAGGGAGCAGAUGCCCUGGAAUGAGAGAGAAGUGACUGAUCUCCCAGUCAGUCUUGGUCCUUGUCUCUCAGAGUGCUGGAGCAAAUGUGUGCACCUCUUCCCAACUCUGUGUUCAGUGACAAUCACGUUGGUGGCCUGAAAUUGGCUGUGCAUCUGCACCAUGGAUAUAAGCAAGUGCUACAAAUGGGGAUGCUCUGUUUCAGACAGUUGGUUGACCAAUUCGUCACUGCCUAACCUGCCUCCUGUAGUGGGGACACCUGGACACACUGAAGGUGCUUCUGACAUCUAAAGAAUGCUGGAUAUAAAUCAAAGACUUGGAAUAAUCCAAGAAGCAUUUAUCCAAGAAAAGUUGCUGAAUCAAGGGCCAUGUGAAGGCUUUCUCUGAAAAAGCUCGUCUAAUCCCACAGCUCCAGUUACCAAAUCUGUGCUGAUUUUUCUAGAACUUAGUCUCCAGCCUAAGUCUUUCUCUGAAGCUCCAGCGCCUUAUACCCAAUGGCCUCCUGAAUAACUCCCCUUGGAUAUUCUGCAGGUUCUUUUGUGUUUGGCUAUUUUACUUAGCAUAAGGUCCUAUAUCCCUGCUGUAGGAGGUGUCAGAAUUUCCUUCCUUCUUAAGGCAGAAUAAUAUUCCAUGACUUCCUAGUGGGUGUGGAGUGGUAUCUCAUUGUGGUUUUGAUUUCCUGAUGGCCAGUGAUGGUAGCCAUUGCGCCAUCAGCCGGGCUCCUGGAAGGGAAUCAAGUGGAGCAGACCAGAAUCUAAGACCAACGCAAGCCUGGCCAACCCACGUGCAGCACACAGACCAGUGAGAGAAAAAAACAACAACAAUAACAACAACAACAAAGGGCGAAGCUGAAGCACCAGAGUAAUAUAAAUAAUGAAACUGACACCACUGGCUCCUGGGAGGAAAGGUUUCUGGUUUGCUACUAAGCCCUGAUAGAAGCUGAAUGUUUGACUAUGGGAAAUCAAGUAAGCCUACGAACUGGAUGCUCUCUGAUCAGCCAAGGCAUGAGGUCAGUCACAUGCAGCAUCAGUCCAUGGUCAGAGGGUGGUGGUCUAUGUGAGGUCAGACUGAAGCGGGUCGAGAAGGCAUAAACAAGAUGUGUAAGCAGGUGGCUCACACCUGGUUGACACCUGCUCCUCCUUCGACACCUGCUCCUGCUACAUUGCUGCCCCUGCGUCAGUCCACACCCAUUGCCUCAUGGAGAGUUUCCUAGGAGCAGCUUUGGAGCAAGAAAAAACUCACUCUUGGUUUACAGAUUGGUCUGCGCAAAAUGUUGACUAACAGCUGCUGUACUGGACAUUGCAAAUAUAUCUGUCAUUGCAGAAAGUGUAUUAGUGCUGGCUAGACCUGGCUGAUUGCAUUCUUCAUGGUGUAUUUAACAUUUUCCUUUGCCAACUCCUAUAGUUGGGUCUAGAGGUUCAAUUUGCUUUGUGUUUGGUUUUGUUUAUUUGUUUGUUUGGCCAGACUACUUCAUGAAUCGUAUUGUCUUUUUCAACUAAGCAGGCUCGUAAUGACUGGUUGCCCCUCUUGUCAUCAGCUGCUGUUAAUGAAUAAUAGAUUCAUUAUUCCAUUAGGCUCUGAAAAU